CGCCUUUCUCCAGGGAGUGGAUUUGCUCUCCCAAGAGCCGGUCGUUGGGCAGCAAGGCCGGCCCUCAUGUGUUGCGCCUUUCACAGGCCUUUCUGCAGCCUGCACAAGAUACAGAGCGAGGCAGCACCAGGAGCAGAGUGGGUGCUGGCUUCCCGCGCUAACGCUCUGUGGAGAUGGAACUGGGAGAGGAAAUCAGUGCAGCCCAGGCGGUCCUUCAGUGUUUGGAAUCUGCUCUGA
rnacentral:lncRNA from 1 species